rnacentral:snRNA from 1 species
GUGCUCGCUUUGGCAGCCCAUAUACUAAAAUUGGGACAUUGCAGAGAAAAAUGGCAUGGCCUCUGUGCAAGGAUGACAAGCAAAUUCAUGAAGCAUUCCAUAUCAAA